GGGGCAACUUCGCCUCAGCCACUGAAACGGGGCAACCGGGACCCGUCUCUGCUCCAAACAGCCGUGACAGAUCCUGAGGAAAGCAGAAAGCGCGGGCGGUGCGAGGCCUCUCUCGGGGCGGACGAAGGUGUCAGUUAAACAGAGCCCCGCGCUCUGAGGUGUGCUGACACCAAACAGCUCAGAUGUUACCUUUACUCCUGGCUGCCCCUCCCUGUGCUCCGGCUGGAUGCCACCUGAGCUUCAUUGCCGCACCACGCCUGGGUAGCUCGGCUGCUUUAUUGGCACUUUCAUUGCGCUGUUUGAAGGCAAACUCCCUCUCCACAGUGUAGCAAUUGGACAUAUCAACACGAUGGGAAAGGCACUGCAACAAAGGUGUGAUGGUGGAAGGAUCAGCGUGACAGAAAGGUGCUACAAAGGAAGGGAAGAUUGCUCACCCAUAGCAGAAGAUUCCACGGUCACAGGGGAGAGCUCCAAGGAGGGAUCUCCAGAAAGAGAUCAUCCUAGAGUGGCACUCAGCCUUUCAGUGAGGUCUAAGAGAGGCGCAGCCAGGCUCCACCCCUUCUGGUCACACAGCUGAAUUGCCUUCACCUGUGCUCCCAGGGCUGACCGGUCCUUUCCCCAGGUGCUCAAUCAGUGGCUCAGGCCGUGACUCAGCAGUUAGCACACACACAGCAAACAUCUGCAUCAAUGCAGAAUGCAUUUCUGCUGCAGAGGAGAUGGGAGGAUAGCAUGGCUUUGCCAUAAAGUUAUGGGUCAGCCACUGAAAAGAGCCUGUGCUUUUAGGAGAUGGUCCCCAUUAUUCCUGGUGAACCAUGGCAAGAGUUGCACCUUCAAGCUUUAUCAGAAGGCAUACAUUGCCUGUAUAAGGGCCGACUACUACUUACAUGUAAAAGCUAGAGCAGUUGCAGCAACAUCAGCCAGAGCUUCAGUGCAGAUUACCUGGAGAAAUCUUGCAGUAUGUGAGUGCCAGCACUCCCACUCGUCUGCUUCGCUUGUGAAAUGCACAGCAUCCUCCUUUCCCACCUGUUUGUUAGCAAUACAACUGCUUUAUAAAGAGCAGGAAUGUUUUGACUGAACUUAACCAGUGUGACCUGCAGACUGCCUGGAAGGAGCAGCCCCACUGCAAGCCCUGCAGCACAGCAGGGGUUUGUCUAAAAGGGCCACAUCAGUCGGACCUGAGCGCCCGAUCCCAGCACUGCACAGAACAAUACAAAGGUUUAAGCCUCUCGAUGCAGUCACUCUCAGGACUGUGUUUGUUUCCUGUCGACGAAAGAUCUUGAAGGGUUUUUUUUGUUGCAAGUUUACUGCAUUAACAGAUGACGAGUGACAAAGAUGGUCAAAACCAAGCAUACAUUUCUGUCUUUACUGUGAAGUAACACACGAUCAGCAGCUCGAGCUUGCUGGCACCAUGACUUUCACCACCCCUUCCAUAACAGUCUUCCCACUCUCUCUGACUUUACACGAUACAGCGAUGUGUGCAACGGAGCUCCUCAGCCGUCUCACUUGCACUGCAGCUAUCACUUCUUCUCCAGUAUACAGAGGAGCUGGAAAUCGAAUCUCCUGAGAAAGAAACACACAGCCCUGCCCAGGCAUUUUAGUGCCCAGAACUGCAGAAAUAAGUCCGUUGAUCAAAACUCCGUGCACAACAGUUCUACCAAAUUUAGUUUUCUUUGCAAAAUCUUCGCUUAAAUGCAAAGGAUUUGUGUCACCUGUUAAAUGAGAAAAAGUAACAACAUCAUUCUGUGUAAAAACUCUGCUAAGUUCAGCUUUGUCUCCAACUUUUAUGUGUAAAUUCUGAAGCAACGGACAUCCAAGCAGCAGGUUGGUAACCACCAGCUUUGUUGAAGCUCCGUGUCGGAAAUCCCCUCUAGAAAUCCCACACCUGAGGAGCAGCAACAUCUCAAGGACCUUCUGACAGUCCAACCGGCCACGCUCAGUGCAAGACCAGCUCCCUGCUGUUCCCAGCUAAGGCGAGAAGAAAUGGAGAUGUCUUGUUUUGGGGGAAGAAAAAAAAGAAAACGAGAAGCAUUAAAAAAAUAAAUAAAUCAUUAAAUGCACCCAGAGUUGAAAACAUUUAGCCCUCCCAUUCAUGUAGAUUUUAAAGUAAGAGCUACAAGUAAGCAGACAUUUGUUUAGCCGUGGCUUCAGAGACAAAGAAUUUGUGGAGGACGUUUACUUAAGCAACAUCCUCAGGGGGGAGAGAAAAGGGAAAAGCUCUGGAGGUACACAUUUAUGCAUGCAUUUCUACACGAGGUAACUACUGACUAUUAGAAAGGGAAGAAAGGUCAGAACAACGAACAGCACAGCAGUGAUGGGGGGGAGG